AGCGAACGCUAGCGGCGGGCUUAACACAUGCAAGUCGAGCGGAGGGUUUCGGCCCUCAGCGGCGAACGGGUGAGUAACACGUGGGUAACGUACCCUUUGGUGGGGAAUAACCUAGGGAAACCUGGGGCUAAUACCGCAUAUGUCCUUCGGGAUGAAAGUCUUCGGACGCCAGGGGAUCGGCCUGCGGCCCAUUAUUUAAUCCUAGUUGGUAGGGUAACGGCCUACCAAGGGUACGAUGGGUAGCUGGUCUGAGAGGAUGAUCAGCCACACUGGAACUGAGACACGGUCCAGACUCCUACGGGAGGCAGCAGUGGGGAAUAUUGGACAAUGGGCGAAAGCCUGAUCCAGCCAUGCCGCGUGCAGGAAGAAGGCCUUCGGGUUGUAAACUGCUUUAGUCUAGGAAAAAGGGGUGCGAGGUUAAUACCCUCGUGCUUUGAUGGUACUGGAAGAAUAAGCACCGGCUAACUACGUGCCAGCAGCCGCGGUAAACUACGUCUACG
rnacentral:rRNA from 1 species